rnacentral:rRNA from 1 species
UACGGGGGGGGCAAGCGUUGUUCGGAAUUACUGGGCGUAAAGCGCGCGUAGGCGGCUGGGUAAGUCGGCUGUGAAAGCCCGCGGCUCAACCGUGGAACUGCCGUCGAAACUGGCUGGCUUGAGUCCGGGAGAGGGUGGCGGAAUUCCCAGUGUAGAGGUGAAAUUCGUAGAUAUUGGGUAGAACACCAGUGGCGAAGGCGGCCUCCUGGGCGACGCCUGACGCUGAGGCGCGAAAGCUAGGGGAGCAAACAGG